GAUGAAGAACGUAGCGAAAUGCGAUAAUUAAUGUGAAUUGCAGAAUUCAGUGAAUCAUCGAAUCUUUGAACGCACAUUGCGCCCGCCAGUAUUCUGGCGGGCAUGCCUGUUCGAGCGUCAUUUCAACCCUCAAGACCCCUUCGGGGGACUUGGUGUUGGGGACCGGCACAGGGGCCUGCCUGCUUGUCUUGCAGCGCCCUCGCCGCCCCCGAAAUGAAUUGGCGGCCUCGUCGCGGCCUCCCCUGCGUAGUAGCACAACCUCGCAACGGGAACGUGACGGCGGCCACUGCCGUAAAACAACCCAAUUUUAUUAGAGUUGACCUCGAAUCAGGUAGGAAUACCCGCUGAACUUAAGCAUAUCAAUAAGCGGAGGA
rnacentral:misc_RNA from 1 species